ACGUGGUACAUUGGUACACUGUUUAAAGUGCGUUUUAUCAGUAUAAUAACGAGUGUAUUAUAACUGUUAAUAAACACCGCGGAAUAACUGCAGUGUCCCGCAUUUUUUCGUCGUUCCAAAUGAUUAUAUUCUUUCUGCGCGAUUAUUCCGUUGUAUAAUAAAUCUGCGGACUGUAAGCCCGUUAUUUUAUAAAGUCUCUUAUUUAUUCGAAUUGAAUAUUUUAAAGUUGAAUU